UACGUAGGGUGCAAGCGUUGUCCGGAAUUAUUGGGCGUAAAGAGCUCGUAGGCGGUUUGUCGCGUCUGCUGUGAAAACUCGGGGCUUAACCCCGGGCCUGCAGUGGGUACGGGCAGACUAGAGUGUGGUAGGGGAGAGCGGAACUCCUGGUGGAGCGGUGAAAUGCGUAGAUAUCAGGAGGAACACCGGUGGCGAAGGCGGCUCUCUGGUCCACAACUGACGCUGAUGUGCGAAAGCUAGGGGAGCAAACGGG
rnacentral:rRNA from 1 species